GCCGAAAUAGCUCAGUUGGGAGAGCGUUAGACUGAAGAUCUAAAGGUCCCUGGUUUUGAUCCCGAGUUUCGGCA